rnacentral:rRNA from 1 species
GACGAACGCUGGCGGCGUGCCUAAUACAUGCAAGUCGAACGAACUCUGGUAUUGAUUGGUGCUUGCAUCAUGAUUUACAUUUGAGUGAGUGGCGAACUGGUGAGUAACACGUGGGAAACCUGCCCAGAAGCGGGGGAUAACACCUGGAAACAGAUGCUAAUACCGCAUAACAACUUGGACCGCAUGGUCCGAGUUUGAAAGAUGGCUUCGGCUAUCACUUUUGGAUGGUCCCGCGGCGUAUUAGCUAGAUGGUGGGGUAACGGCUCACCAUGGCAAUGAUACGUAGCCGACCUGAGAGGGUAAUCGGCCACAUUGGGACUGAGACACGGCCCAAACUCCUACGGGAGGCAGCAGUAGGGAAUCUUCCACAAUGGACGAAAGUCUGAUGGAGCAACGCCGCGUGAGUGAAGAAGGGUUUCGGCUCGUAAAACUCUGUUGUUAAAGAAGAACAUAUCUGAGAGUAACUGUUCAGGUAUUGACGGUAUUUAACCAGAAAGCCACGGCUAACUACGUGCCAGCAGCCGCGGUAAUACGUAGGUGGCAAGCGUUGUCCGGAUUUAUUGGGCGUAAAGCGAGCGCAGGCGGUUUUUUAAGUCUGAUGUGAAAGCCUUCGGCUCAACCGAAGAAGUGCAUCGGAAACUGGGAAACUUGAGUGCAGAAGAGGACAGUGGAACUCCAUGUGUAGCGGUGAAAUGCGUAGAUAUAUGGAAGAACACCAGUGGCGAAGGCGGCUGUCUGGUCUGUAACUGACGCUGAGGCUCGAAAGUAUGGGUAGCAAACAGGAUUAGAUACCCUGGUAGUCCAUACCGUAAACGAUGAAUGCUAAGUGUUGGAGGGUUUCCGCCCUUCAGUGCUGCAGCUAACGCAUUAAGCAUUCCGCCUGGGGAGUACGGCCGCAAGGCUGAAACUCAAAGGAAUUGACGGGGGCCCGCACAAGCGGUGGAGCAUGUGGUUUAAUUCGAAGCUACGCGAAGAACCUUACCAGGUCUUGACAUACUAUGCAAAUCUAAGAGAUUAGACGUUCCCUUCGGGACAUGGAUACAGGUGGUGCAUGGUUGUCGUCAGCUCGUGUCGUGAGAUGUUGGGUUAAGUCCCGCAACGAGCGCAACCCUUAUUAUCAGUUGCCAGCAUUAAGUUGGGCACUCUGGUGAGACUGCCGGUGACAAACCGGAGGAAGGUGGGGAUGACGUCAAAUCAUCAUGCCCCUUAUGACCUGGGCUACACACGUGCUACAAUGGAUGGUACAACGAGUUGCGAACUCGCGAGAGUAAGCUAAUCUCUUAAAGCCAUUCUCAGUUCGGAUUGUAGGCUGCAACUCGCCUACAUGAAGUCGGAAUCGCUAGUAAUCGCGGAUCAGCAUGCCGCGGUGAAUACGUUCCCGGGCCUUGUACACACCGCCCGUCACACCAUGAGAGUUUGUAACACCCAAAGUCGGUGGGGUAACCUUUUAGGAACCAGCCGCCUAAGGUGGGACAGAUGAUUAGGGUGAAG